UACGUAGGGGGCAAGCGUUGUCCGGAAUCAUUGGGCGUAAAGAGCGUGUAGGCGGCUCGAUAAGUCUGCUGUGAAAGUCCAGGGCUCAACCCUGGAAGGCCGGUGGAAACUGUCGGGCUAGAGUCCGGAAGAGGCGAGUGGAAUUCCCGGUGUAGCGGUGAAAUGCGCAGAUAUCGGGAGGAACACCAGUGGCGAAGGCGGCUCUCUGGACAGGUACUGACGCUGAGACGCGAAAGCGUGGGUAGCAAACAGG
rnacentral:rRNA from 1 species